GCUGUCAUAGCUCAUCGGGUAGAGCGCGAUCUUGGUAGGGUCGAGGCGCCAGGUUCGAGCCCUGGUGACAGCACCA
rnacentral:tRNA from 1 species